UACGGGGGGAGCAAGCGUUGUUCGGAUUUACUGGGCGUAAAGGGCGCGUAGGCGGCCACCGCAAGUCGACUGUGAAAUCUCCGGGCUUAACCCGGAAAGGUCAACUGAUACUGUGCGACUAGAGUGCGGAAGGGGCAACUGGAAUUCUCGGUGUAGCGGUGAAAUGCGUAGAUAUCGAGAGGAACACCUGCGGCGAAGGCGGGUUGCUGGGCCGACACUGACGCUGAUGCGCGAAAGCCAGGGGAGCGAACGGG
rnacentral:rRNA from 1 species